rnacentral:lncRNA from 1 species
CUUUUUCGUCUUGUUGGUUUGAGUUUACCAUAUCCUUUUAUUGCAUGGGUGGUUAAGUAAGGUGCUUCAUUCUCCAUUUUAAGGCCUACUUAUUUCCUUAAGUUCUGUUUGAAUAAAACCUCUUAAUCUGGUAAAACACGUAGAAAAUUUUUAAAUUAUUAGCAGAUGUUUCCAUUGACAAGCAAACAUUUGAAAGCAAUUUUUUUCAUUAUUUUUUCCUAUGUACUUAGUUAAUGAAUUUAGGUUACUUUUCCUCUUUGGGAAUAGUUUUGAUGUAGUUUUUAAAGAUAGGAUUUAGUAAAGCAUUCUGACUUUGUUGAAGUUCUUUGUGAUUUAAUGUUUUUCUUGAAAAAAUUUUUCAUAUUGGAAAUUUUUCUACUUAGAAAUGUCAUUUUUCUUCAAACAA